rnacentral:rRNA from 1 species
UAUCAUUUAGAGGAAGGAGAAGUCGUAACAAGGUUUCCGUAGGUGAACCUGCGGAAGGAUCAUUGUCGAAACCUGCAAAGCAGAACGACCCGCGAACAUGUAUGAAUACAGGACGACACGAAGAAGGGAUCUCGGUCCUUUGUUCGUGUUGCUCUCUGCUGGUGGAUGUAAAUCUUGCCUUGUUUUAGGUCUUGACUUGCACUCCAUCGGCACAAACCUAACCCCGGCGCGGAAUGCGCCAAGGAAAUUACAAACUAAGAAGAGCACUUGCCUUGAUGCCCCGUUCUCGGUGUGCAUUCAAGGGGGUAGAUGCUUCUUACGAAUCACCAACGACUCUCGGCAACGGAUAUCUCGGCUCAUGCAUCGAUGAAGAACGUAGCGAAAUGCGAUACUUGGUGUGAAUUGCAGAAUCCCGUGAACCAUCGAGUUUUUGAACGCAAGUUGCGCCCGAAGCCAUUCGGCCGAGGGCACGUCUGCCUGGGCGUCACACAUCGCGUCGCCCCCCCACAUUACUUGCCCAAAUAGCAGGGAAUAUGUCGGGGCGGAGAUUGGUCUCCCGUGCCUCAUUGAUGCGGUUGGCCUAAACAAAAGUCCCCUUAGACGGACGCAUGACAAGCGGUGGUCGUAAAAAACCCCUCGGUUGGUGUAGUGUGUCCGACGUCUUUAGCGGGUUUAUUUGCAAGACCCCUAUGCUGUUGUCUUUAUUUAUUGACGACGCUUCGACUGCGACCCCAGGUCAGGCGGGACUACCCGCUGAGUUUAAGCAUAUC